GUCAAUCAGAUAAAUCACGAGUAGAAUAUGUAUACACACUGCAACGCACAGUUAAUUAUCUUGUGUACAAAACAGUUUGAAAAAUACGGGCGCCGCCUGAAAUGCAAGAUCUUCGCGUGAGAUCGCACCCCUCCCACCACGCCCUAACGAAAACACCACCGCCCCACCCUAUUCAAUAGUGACCACCUCUCCAACGAGAUCCACGCAGCCGCCUCCGCGAUCCUCCGAUACUUCCCCGCCCUCUUCAGAAGCCGCGCCAUGGAUCGGCAUGGAUCCUCGUUAGAUGAGAUCCUGCCAUACCGAUGCUUGUCCAAUGACCUCAUCUAACAAGGUGUCUCAUGAGAAGUACGUACUACUACAAACAUAGCGCAUUCUAUUUCUAUUUAUCAAAGCUUGCAGCAGCCCUGAACUUCCGCGGUUCCGCCUCCCUCAGACGACGUCCCGGCGCCCUCCUUCUCCCUCCAGCCAUCUCCUCCACGGCAAGCGACGCCGGCUGCCUCAUCACGUCCCUGGCACGAGCAGUGAAGCUAGCCGCAAGGUCAGGAUCGUCUUCGAGGCUAGGGAGCCUAGCCUCGCCUCGCCUCACAACCUCCUUCCUCUUUUCAUCCUAACCAUCCCCUCUCGAUCCCAAUUGUUGUGGAGCAGGUACGACCUCACUUUCCAAUCCCUUUCCUCAGAUCUACCCGUCGCAUCCAAUUGUCAUCUCAUCAUCUCAGAUUUGAUUUGCUUGCAGCCCGGUGGAUUUGGAGUCAACUAAGGUCCAGCAGGUGAACAACGUUUGGUAAUAUCCUCCUUCCCCCCUUUCUUUUUUUCUUCGCGAAUACGCAAAGCAUGCAUAUCUUUUCACUGAUACAAGAAAAGAGAAUGAACACAAUUUCUGAUUUGCCCUUUCUUUUGAUUUGCGCUUUCGUUUUUUGAUUCCUGGACUACUGGAUCUUGCAUCUGUAUUUAGCUAGCAGAGUAUAAAAUCCAUAUUCUUUGACCAGAACUAUGUUAUUGUUGUGAUGUUGCUCUGUGUUAAUAUCAGAUGAGAUGUUAUUGUUGUGAUUCUAGCUUUGGUGUUUGUCUGAAAAAAUCAAGUAAUUUGAUAUACUCCCUCUGUGGUAAUAUAUUAUGGUACAGAGGGAGUAUGUGCCAGAUAAAGUCUUUUGUUCAUGGCAAGUUUGUGCCGUCAUGAAAACAGAAUUUUCAUUCUGGUUGCCCAUUUAGUAGCCUUGUAAACUGUUAUACUUCCUCAAGUUGCUUUCUUGUAUCGCUUGAUAUUUCAUGGGCGUUGGGAUGUAACUUCCAUAACUAUUUUCUAUGGUAAUAUAUCUCUACAAGCUUAAAAAGAGUUAUAAAAUAAAAAUAUGCUGAUUAGUAAGAGAGUCUGGUAGUUGGCAAUAUGGCAUUCUCUGUUUUGCAGAUUUGUCUUCUCCUAACACAGAAACGAAUUACUUCUAGACUAUGUAAUCCUGUUUGGCGGGUUGAAGCUAUUUUCCCUCACUAUAGUUAGGACAAAUGAACCCAAUAUGAUUUAUUCUUUCAACGCUCAUUUCUAGCUCAUGUGUUUUUAAGGUUUGCGUAGAGUAGGGUUCAUGGCUCAACUAAACUUGGUUAGAACAUAUUUUUUCUAGAACUUCAUGGUAGCAUUUAUGGGGCAGCUCCUGGAUCUGAGGGCUAUCCCGUGGCCUGGAGGUGCUUGGGGUAAAACUGGUCGUUGGUGAGGCGACGCUGUCGCCGGCACAGUACCAGAAGGUAGCAGGGAUUGGAGAUAAGAGAACAGGGAUUAGGGAAACUAAACUUUAUUGAUUAUUGCUUCCUCUAGCUUACACAAGUAGGUACUUUAUAUGGGACACAAACUAUUACUACUUUGACAUACUCUGGACUCUAAUUUGAAUCUGACUCAAACUAGACUACCUUAACAGAACCUGGAGACUACCAGAGCAGAUGCAUUCUUCAGGACAUCAAACUGCCCUUGUCUAGCCACAUCCUAACCUGACCCUGCUGCCUUGCGCCCACCAUAAAGAAUUACCCACAUAACAUCUCUCCCUUCCUCAACAACCAGCUCAUCCUCGAGCUGAUAAUCUGGAUACUGCUUGAUGAAGUCAGCAAGGGGCUCCAAAGUCGUGUCCAUUUCCAAAGAACACACCCAUUGAACAAGCACAUGCUUCACUCUUCUACGCAUGCUUGAGCUUAGUACCUUGGCAGGUUCUAGAAUGGCGCUACCAUCCUGAAUCAACGGCAAUGGUGGUGUCAUGUUAAAAGCGACACCAUGGAAUUUCUUCAAAAGACUCACAUGGAAGACAUCAUGUAGGCGAGAGCCUUCCGGGAUAUCCAUCAUGUGGGCAAUAGAACCAACACGCUCCAGAAUCUUGUAAGGUCCAUAAAAGCGCUGAGCUAACUUGGCACAGUGCAUGGCCUCGUACUGAAAGCAACUUGCUUGUGGUGAAGCCACAACCAUGCCCAUUCACCAACAAAGGACAGAUCCUGAUGAUGGUCAUCAUAGUACUUCUUGCUGUGUUGUUGGGCUUGAAGUAGACACUCAUGAAGCUCCUUUAGAAACUUAUCACAUUCUUGCAAAGCGGUCCCUAUUGACUCAACUUUGGCUUCGCCCUUGUUAUAAGUCGGUAGAGCAAGAGGGUGACAACAAUAGACCACCUUGAAGGAGUGUCAUGCAGCUGAGGAAUGGUAUGAUGUGUUGUAGCAGUAUUCUGCCCAAGGAAGCCAUUCUAGCCACGAGGUCAAUCUCCUGUCAUGCACCCAAGGUACAUAGAAAUCACCUUUUUCACCACCUUGUACUCACCAUCAGACUGAGGGUGAAACGCUGAGCUCAUAUGCAAGCGAACCCCAGAGAAACAUAUGCAAGCGGACCCUAGAAAUACGGAAGAUGUUGUGCGGGAAAUUGCUGGUAAAGACAGGGUCACGGUCUCUUACGACGGACUGUCGAAGCCCAUGGAGCCAAGCAAUAUUGUCAAAGAAAGCUCAUGCCACCGAGAUAGCAAUGUACAGAUGUGCCAAUGCCAUGAACUGUGCGUAUUUGGAGAAGUGAUCAACAACAGAAAGGAUCACUGUCUUGCCAUGGACACGAGGAAGGGUCUCAAUAAAAUCCAUUGAGAUAUCCGACUAGACCAACAAGGGCACCAUCAGAGGCUGAAGCAGGACAACAUGAUGAAUAGUCUUAGUCUUGUUACAUUGACAAAUCUUGCAGGAACGCACCAAUGCAUGUCACCCGGUAUGUGGAAGGUGUCAUGCAAACGAUGAAGUUUCUUGCCCUCGUGGGCUGCAUGGGCCUUUUCCAGUAAAGAUGCUACCAAGGACGAUGACGGGAGCACAUGUACAUGUCGGCGGUGCAAGAUCAGAUCAUCGCAACAUGACCAAGGGUGCAGUCUUUUUUAAACUUUGGCUCGAGCGAGCCCCAUAAUCUCCUCCCCGGUAACUCGUUGGGGAAAAAUCGGUCCCAACUCCUGCCCACUUUGAAGGUUGAAGCUUUUAUUAUUUGCGGGACAAGCUAAAUAGUUGGAGAUGAUGCUACUCAUCAUCAUCUCGUCGCUCUAAAGAAAGCUAAGUAUUGAUGAGUACUCUUGGCAGGGCGUUCACCAUGUGUCGGGCGUGCGAGCAUGACACCGGGAGUGAGAGACACCCCUUUUUUGUUCGGCCAGGGGCUAAACACUCAAGAUCUACUACUGCAUGAUGAUGGAAAUGACACAAGUUUUUUACCCAGGUUAAUGCCACCGAGAUGUAAAACACUACGCCUGCUGCUUAGUUCAUUAAGUGGUGGAUGAUUACAAUGGUGAACUAAGGUUCUUCUCUCGGAGCUGCUUGAGGAGGAAAAAUCACUUAUUCUUGGGAGGUUAGCCCUUCUCAUAGUCCUAGCUCUCUGGUGUUCUUCUAAUUCUCCAACAAUGCGAACCCCCUUGCAAUGCGGCCUUGGUCCUACUUUUAUAUGAAACAAGGGGAUACCACAGUGGCCGGAGUACAGCUAGGAGUCCUCAUGAAAUGCAGGGACACAUGUCUGCCUAACCCUUGUCGGGUAGGUGCAACGGCUGUCUUGUCAGAGUAGGUGUGUAGGCGCACUCAAUUUUAUCGUCGCACGUAGAGGGAGAUGUGCCAUGCUCCUGGUAAAAGCGGAGUGACAUGUCACCCUCGACUUCGCCUUUCUACCUUGUAGCAGCCCCCUCCGGGUGACAGCUGGCCUCGUGCUGUUAUAGGCUGUGGCAGGCAUACUUGUACCGCGCCACUGUAGCCUGCUGUCAGGCGUCGUUGUAGGCUGACCCCUAGAAGCGCUACCGGGGGAACGCUACCGAAAUGGCAGUUGAUAGGGAGAGACGUGGUUGCGACGCCCAAGGUGUAUGUGGGCUGCCGGGAAGAGACCCCGACAACCGAUACCUAGCUGUUCUUGUGGAUGUAGAAUCCCUCUUUUGUAACCCUGGUCUUGACGUUGGCGAUGGUGUCAGAGGACUAAACCUCAAGGGUGAUGGUUUUGUCAGUGAGGUUCUUCACAAAGAUCUGCAUACCACCAUAUUGAUGGAGGACAAGGUGAAGGGUAGACUCCUUCUGGGUGUUAUAGUCAGCUCAUUUUAGAUGUUACAGCCAGCAAGGGUGCUACCAUCCUCAAGCUGCUUGCCAGCAAAGAUGAGACACUACUGGUUUGGAGAGGUGCCCUCCUUGUCCUGGAUCUUCACCUUGCCGUUACUAGGAGGUAACUGCAUUAGCACGCUUGGCGGCGUUGUCAUGUCCCAUGGUUGAUGACUCUGUGAGACCCUGGUUCUCACUGGGCCGACACCAAGGCAGCAAAUUCAGGGGUGCCUAGCCCUAACCGAAGAAUUGCGAUCAACUCCUUGGCUGAAGGGCAUCCACGCCUAUUCCAUCGAGCGAUUCGAUGGAACCAUCGACCCUAACAAGUUCCUAACAUGUACGCAAUGACUACAGAAGUUGUCGGGGGAAACAAUGGGGUAAUGGCCCAAUACUUGGUGGCCACCCUCGAAUUGAACCAGGUUGUGGUUGACAAACUUCCCCUGCUCAUGUCACAAGUUUGUCUCCAACCUCUAGGGGUUCACGCCUGAUCGAGCAUUGGGACGAUCUAGAGUGUGUCCACCAGGGCGAGGAGGGGCCUCUUUGGAUUGCAUCCUACAGUUUAUCAGGACCAACAACAUGCCAUGGGUUCCUGAUUACCUGGUUAUCAGUGCCUUCAGGGGGGGACCGGCAUCCAUUGCUUGCAUCGUCGACCUUGCCAUAGCAUGACCUAGUUUAGUGAAGGUCCUCAGAUGGGCAUGGAAGGUCGUGGAUGCUGAAGAGGCAGUAAAACUCUUGACAAACACCCAGGCUUAUCCCCGUUCAAGUCACAACUUGACGGUUGCCCGACCAACAAGAAAAAGAGAUCNNNNNNNNNNNNNNNNNNNNNNNNNNNNNNNNNNNNNNNNNNNNNNNNNNNNNNNNNNNNNNNNNNNNNNNNNNNNNNNNNNNNNNNNNNNNNNNNNNNNNNNNNNNNNNNNNNNNNNNNNNNNNNNNNNNNNNNNNNNNNNNNNNNNNNNNNNNNNNNNNNNNNNNNNNNNNNNNNNNNNNNNNNNNNNNNNNNNNNNNNNNNNNNNNNNNNNNNNNNNNNNUUCGGUGGGAAGCGUAACUCCUCUCCUUUCAAGGGGAAGAGCAAGCCGAUCGUUAACACCGCAGUCUUCCAACCAUGGAUUGAAGACAAGGGCGACUUCGACAAGAGUUGUCCCUUGCACCAAACUGAUAAGCACAACCUCAGAAACUGCCACACCUAUUUGAAGGCUCAGAUGGAGUUGAGGUGGACACCAUGGGACGUCAUUAGGUGGCGAAUGUUAAGGUCAACAAAAACUCACAACAACACUGACCUUUUUCCCACUACACCUUGAACCAUAUAUUCGUCUGCUUGGCGUCGUACAAGUUAAAGAGACAGUACAAGGUUGUCAAGAAGCAACCACGGGCUAUUGUAUUCAUAACCAUCCCAAAAACAACAGUCAAGCGGCCGGAUAUGGCCAUCACCUUCAAUAUUAAAACCUUCCCAGAAAACUUAAACUCAGCUAGGCCGUUUCCCUUGGGUGCUCACCCUGACCAUAGCCAUCUGAAACAUCACCAAGUACUCAUCGAUGGAGGGAGUUCACUCAACAGUGUCUUCACCGAUACCUUGGAUGGCCUCUAGAUCCUGAGGUCCUUGAUCAAGCCCGUCAGGUAAUCCUUCCAUCGAAGAGUCAUCGAAUCUUCGCCAAACCUAUUAGAUAGGUCACCUUAUUUGCCUCCUUUGGCCCCACAGACAACUUCCAUACAACAAUGUGCUCUUCGCCAUCACCUGCCUUCAAGAUGGCAUUUAAUGCUAUCCUAGGAUGGCCAACUCUUGCCAAGCUCAUGGUCGUACCCUAUUAUGCGUACUCUUGCCUCAAGCUCCCCAGGCCGAAGAGUCAUUACGGUCCCAUGUCGUAUGAAGGCAAUCGUUCGCUGUGGCACAAAGAGCAUUGGCAUGGCAACCAUAUGCAUCGAUGAGCUUGAAGAACAAGUAAUGCGCCUCAAGGUCAACUCGGGGAGAUAACCUCAACGCCCAAGAAGGGGCCUGAGUCUACUCCGAGGAAAAAGGAGACUUAAAAGGCCUUAGGGCAGAGGUACCGAAGCGAGAAACCUUUAGGCAGGCUAGGGCGUAAUUAAGUGAGUGUUUCAUUUUCCAAUUUGCCCGGUGUAAGGUCUUGGGCCUCCACGGGUCAAUAAAUGUUCUCACUUAUACCUCAUCUUACUAACUACCUGAAAUUCCUUCCGUCUCAGCAAGUGAAACCAUGAUAAGCCGCCUCGCGUCAAGCUAGGUAUUUCUUCACUGANNNNNNNNNNNNNNNNNNNNNNNNNNNNNNNNNNNNNNNNNNNNNNNNNNNNNNNNNNNNNNNNNNNNNNNNNNNNNNNNNNNNNNNNNNNNNNNNNNNNNNNNNNNNNNNNNNNNNNNNNNNNNNNNNNNNNNNNNNNNNNNNNNNNNNNNNNNNNNNNNNNNNNNNNNNNNNNNNNNNNNNNNNNNNNNNNNNNNNNNNNNNNNNNNNNNNNNNNNNNNNNNNNNNNNNNNNNNNNNNNNNUGGAAGAUGUCGCAUCUAGCAACCAUAUACAACCUUUUGCCCCCACUUCCUCAUGGAGUUGAGCAACGCGGCCGAAGAACAUGAGACGGAGGCACAACUUUGGCCGUGGUCUCUCAAGAUGGCUCCACCGACAUUAGAGGGUAAUCUACCCCUAGGGAGUUCCUCAGAUCCACAUGGCAAACCCUAGAUUCACAUUCGCCUUGGCCAAUCUAAGUGGCCUGACCUCUCAGGGGGCAUGUCACAAAGCUGUUUUUUAUUAAAAUACUAUUGGUGCUUAGUCCACGAUAUUACACGGGAUUCGAGGGGGCACCUCGUGGUAUGGCAACCCACCUUGGACUUUCUAGCCGCUAACACUUGGAAAUUAAUCUCUCUCAAAAGUCCAAGAGUGCCACGUGAAGCCUUAUUCCAUGCAGCUUGCUAUAGAGACGAAUGGGGACCAUGGGGUCGGCUAGGACUUCACGGCCCAUUCGCGCAACCGACAUCGCAGGAAAGGCCGCCUUCCCCAAGACAUGAUUCCUUUGAGUCAAGCGGAUCGGGGGGCUAGGAAAGGUCAAAAAAUCUAUUUUUCUAUAAGCUAGUGGCACGGGGGGGCCAUAGCAAACAAAGAUGCUAUGUCCUUUUCUUAUAAUUAUAUAAUUUUUUGCGUUAUUUUUCCACUAUUACAAGUAUCGAGCUUACUAGCGUGGGCUUCCCGGGGAUGAAACAUUCUCGAGGAGCACCAAGGUUCGAGGACCCGCACGGAGCUACCGUCCACCCACCCUGAACCUGUUCACGAAACAUGGUCUCCUAUCACCAAUAGGUCAACAUCAGGAAAGUUGUCCAUGGUUCAGGGCAAGAACUCAGAAAGCAAUCCUUCCGCUCGCUUCCUUCACUUUGUUCGCCACUACCAGCUGCAUUAAGCAAACGAAGAACUCUUCAACAUGCCCCAAGUCACUUAGAUUGUCGAGAUCCUUGGGGGCUCCAUCCAUAGGCCUAAAUAGGAUAGAAAAAGGUUGUAGAAGCCAAAGACAGACCACACCGACUCCUUAUGUGACGCCACCAAGAACCUCCCAUGACAAUCCUUGCUCCCCUUUUCAGCCGGCGUGGUGCGGGGCACUUGCUCAAGUUCCGCCCACGCAACGGUGAUGUGUUGUUCCAUAGUCUGGACUCAUAGGGCUAACCUCAAGUUGAUGUCCGUCCGGUGACCACCUUGGCAUGCAAAUCCGACAUGUCCGCCUUACGGCUGGUCGUGUCCGGCGUUGACCGACGAGCACCCAGCGAUGCUAAUUGCGCACGACUUCAGGUUAGUCCUUAACUAAUACGAAAAACACAAUAUAGAUCCACCGCAACUAUUGUCUCUUUUGCAGAUUAGUGUUCUAGAGGAUCGAAAUCAUGUGCGCACAUGUGUCUAGCCUCGACUCGUGCCCAUAACUCUUGGAUGAGAAGUUCAUCUUCCAUCUCAACGGGAUGGGCCUCCUCGGCAUCCGAGCGAAACUAUGGCUUGGAAGAUUCCUUUGAUGGGGGAAUGGACAUCAGGGGGUCUCGGAUAGGGCACAUACUACUGGAAUCGCCAUUAUGACAAAGGUCAAAUCCCUCAUAAGAGAAGACCAAGAGUCACAGGAUAUCGUGAUUAUGGGGCACCAAAGAUCAAAUCCCUCGUAAGAGAAGACCAAGAGUCACAUGAUAUCAUGAUUACAGGGCACCAUGGGACAUUUGAGGGGAGGAGCUCCAUGGCGUCGCGGUCACCCCGUCUUUUCCUCGUCUGGGAGUCGGAUGGUUCUAGCUCACGACCCCUAAGUUUCGGUUGAGAUCUCUCUCCAUCGUAUGCGCCAGUGCUAGCUAAUGUGGCCCAAGCUAGAGCUUGGUCCCUUGGGUAACCUGCGACAGCAAGAAGGCUAGCCAUGCAGGAUGCUACGAGCAGCUGCAGCAAGGCAUAAAAAAGCUUACCGACGAUAGGCAUAAAAAAGCUUAACGAUGACUACAGACCUAGCUUCUUCCUCGGAGAACUCCCAAAAUAGGAAUUCCGCGGGCCCAAGGGGAAGAUGCGGCACUCGAAGAAGUCCUAGGUCACGUCCCACCCGUAGAGGCCUUAGUCAGCAAGGUCAGUUAAACAGGAAGGGGUGAGGGCUGCAGUACAACCACUUCAAUUGCUAGUACGAGGGCGGUUUCAUGUAACACCCAACAAUGUAAACCUUACAGCGCUAUUCGUGAAUGUGGAAUAGCGGCAUUGCCCAGUACCCCAUCACUGGGGACAUCUUUGGCCUUUCAUAGCUCAAAAAAAUAGCACCAAAAGUUCAGGUUUGACGUUAUUCCCAUCCAGCCCUCGCAAGGUUGCGCGAUCAUGAUGAAGAAAGCAGAGGACUGCGAAUUGAGCUGUGUGGGCUUGAUCUUGUAUGGGCCUUUUGCAGUGACUAUUGACUGACUAUGAACUAUGGUUGCCAGAAAUGGUGAGAAGAAUUAGUGUAUGGCCAUAAAUGUUGGGAUUUGUCCCUGGCCGAUCGGUGGGUUUGCUCUGCCUUUUUGUUCUGCUAUCUUUUUAUGUGUUCUCAUUCAUUCUUUUUUACCAUGUUGCAGGAGAAAUUCAGACUGGCAGUGUGUCAUGCAAGGUGAUUUUGAAUGAAGUUGUGAAGAAUUUGGAAGGGCGCCUACUAUAUAUCAGACCAAACACAGGAAUAGCGGUCAUUAUUGCUAUCUGAAUGCAUUCAUCCCUGGUACGGUGGUGCUGGACAACCUGAAACAGGGGAGCUACAGCGAUGGCCCUUUUAGUUCUGCUAAUAAGACAAUGAGGAGGCAGCGGAGAGGUUGAUUGGUUCUCUCUGUAGAAAGCAUAUUUUCAAAGUUAAUGAUUUGAACUGGAUGGAUUGGAAGCUGUUGUGUUCGUGAAAGGUAUAAUUGUUGAAGUGAACUAUGUCAUGUGAAGCAGGAUAAUGGAACUCUUGGAGAAAAGAUUCAGCUGCUAGAGGGCGUAGCACCCUGGAUGAUAAUUGACUCUGUAUGAUCUGACCUCUGUUGCUUGGCCUUCUGCUUUUCAUGCAUAUAGCUCAGAAGGCGCUGAUACAUGUGUGCGCAGAGCAAAAUGCAACAUGCUGCUGUUUAAAGGGAUCGAUAUGUUUGAUCAGGCUGUUUGUAGGAAUCAUUGUUAGCACGAAGCUGAAAUACUCGAAUGGCUGUAAGGCUCCAUAGCAAGAGAAGGUUGAGGUUAUGUCUGUAUGUAUAUGUUAUGUUCUGUGAAUGUGUAUAAUCUGCAAGUGCCUCUUUGCACGGUCUAGCAUCUAGAGCAGUAAAUGGUUUCGGCAAGGAUACUUGAUCAAGCAAGUUAUGUGGGUUUAGCUGCUCAAAGUUGCUGCUUAUGUACGCACAGGUUGGUUAUGAGCCAAACAUGCCCCUGAACUGAUCUUGGAGGUUGGAGUUUUUGUUGGUGAUUUUGACACUGCUACAUCUCGCACAAAAGAUGUAUUAAAACAGUUCGUUAUCAUACAAUCUUGAAACAUAGUGAUCCUCCCUCCCACUGAUCUUCAAGGAUCUCUAUGUUGUCCAGAAUGUCGUGGCCUCCCUCCCUCUGUUAGUUGCUGGCUACUCACGUUUUAUUUUUCUGAUAAUAUCUAUGCCACUAUUUAAUGAUUUGCAUUGGCGUUUUUAUUUUGCCACGUUUUAUUUUGUAUUCCAC
rnacentral:lncRNA from 1 species